rnacentral:rRNA from 1 species
UACGUAGGUCCCGAGCGUCGUCCGGAUUUAUUGGGCGUAAAGCGAGCGCAGGUGGUUUAUUAAGUCUGGUGUAAAAGGCAGUGGCUCAACCAUUGUAUGCAUUGGAAACUGGUAGACUUGAGUGCAGGAGAGGAGAGUGGAAUUCCAUGUGUAGCGGUGAAAUGCGUAGAUAUAUGGAGGAACACCGGUGGCGAAAGCGGCUCUCUGGCCUGUAACUGACACUGAGGCUCGAAAACGUGGGGAGCAAACAGG